rnacentral:lncRNA from 1 species
AUGCAUCCUGCCCUCCCGAAGGGCGCGCCUUUGCAGGGAGGGGACGGGGCUCCGAGAGCGAGGCGGGAGGAGCGAGCUCCCGGCCACGGGGACCGGCCUCCGCCGAGCGGGGCCCCUGCCGUGACCUCCCACGGGCGCGGCCCUCGGGCUGGGGAGGACGCCGCCGGCUGCCGGGGCGCUGCGGGGCCUGGGUGCGCCCGCGGGGGUCCCAGACGCCGCCGGGACCGGGCGCGCGGGGUCCGCCUUUCCGAGCUCCGGGGGCGGCUCCCGGCGCCGCUGCACCUGCUCCCCGCCAGGCCGCCGGGUGCGGGGCCGCGCGCUGACAAGGCAGGUGCGCCCCGGGCCGGCCCGCCCCGCCCCGCCCUCGGUCCUCCCGGGGGCCCCCCGGCGGCGCAUCGGCGGCCUCCCCGACCCCGACCCCGGCCCCGACCCCGGCCCCCGAGGGCGGGCAGCGAGCCGGAGCCCCCCUCCGCGUGUCGGGCAGGGCCGGUGGCCCGGGGCGGAGGGCGCCCCUGCUUCCCUCCCGAGGGCGCAGCGUCCGCGCAAGGCCCCGCGGCCCGGGGAGGGCGCCCCGAGAGCCGGGCGCUGGGCAGGGCGCCCCCUCGCCGCGCCCCCGGGCUCCCCCGCCGCCCAGGCCCCAUCGGAGGACCGACCGGUUCCCUCCAGCCCGCAGCGCAGCCCCGCCAGGCCCCCCGCGGAGGCCAGAGCCCUGAGCGCCCCAGGCCGGAGGCUCUGCGCCGGGCCUGGCGGGGGGGGGGCGGGGGGGGGGACCCCGAGUCCCCGGGGAGCAGCGGCGGCCUCGCCUCAGGCACCCCCGCCCCGAGGAGCGGUACUUCUGGGGGGCACUCGCGGCCCGGUGUGCCCGGCUCCGGCCUGGGGGGGGGGGUGGAGGGAGAUGGGGGGGCCUUGAGUAGGGGCUCCCGACUCUUAGGAGGGGCUUCCAACCUUGUGGUUAUGAACCCCCAAGGGAUAUUUUAUUUCCCCUUGGAAAUAGACAAUUUAAGGUACGACCUUUCCUUUGCAGUCUUUUGGGAAGAGCAGUGCUUCUGGGCAGUUCAUCCACUUGCCGAGGGGACAAUGGGAUAA